UGCCUCCUCGCCGGCUCUAGUUGCUUAGCAGCCCCGCGCUGGGGAUGGGUGGAUGAUGAACGCACACGUGCAGAGAUUUCCGUGCGGGCUCCCCCGGCCACCCGAGCCAGGGCUCGCAGCCCUGCUGGUGAUUAUUUCCAGCCCUGCCCGCGGCUCUGCCCGGCGCUGGUGUCCAGCACUGACAGCCCCCGGGGGCUCCUCAUCCCCUGCCCUGCACUCACCCCUCCUGCAAGCAGACCCUUCCUUCCCUCUGGGUUUGCUGUGUUUGGGAGCACACAUCAGAAAAGGGGCUUGGGCUCAAAACACGCUCCUGUGGAAGUCCCGAAUCCACAGCCAAGGAAACGCGGUGCAAUAAACAUUGGCAGGACGCUUUGUUUACUCUUUGGCUGGUUAUCGAGCUGUCUCACGAAGUAUGACUCAAGUGACAUCUUUACUGAUCUCAUCAAAGUCUUUUCCAGAGGCUUCAAGGAAAGAUGGAGAGAUAAGGACUUGGUAAUGUUGAGAUCUGGAACAUAUUAAAAAAACAGGCAUUGCUAACUGAGCGCAAGGCAAUAGGAAUGUGUCAGCAGGAUGAGGGCUGCCCAGCAGAGUCCAAGGGAGGCGGCAGGAUGCCAUCUGUCUGAGUGAAGACUCCAACAGAACCCUGGCAUAUUAUGAGGAUU